rnacentral:lncRNA from 1 species
UUUUUUUUUUUAUUUUUAGGGCCCCACCUUCAGCAUAUGGAAGUUCCCAGACUAGGGGUCAAAUCAGACUGACCAGGCUAGGCCACAGCCACAGCAAUGCCAAAUCUGAGCUGCAUCCAAGAGCUACACCAAGCUUGCUGCAAUGCCAGAUCCUUUAACUCACUGAGCGAGGAUCUGGUGUUGGUGUGACCUAUGGUGUAGGUCGAAGGUGUGGCUUGGAUCUGGCAUUGCCGUGACUGUGGUGUAGGCCAGCACCUGCAGCUCUGAUUUGACCCCUAGCCUGGGAACUACCAUAUACUGCAGGCGCAGCCAUAAAAAUAAGAAAAUAAAAGAAAAAGAAAAGAAAUUAGAUUUCAAAAAACUGUUCUAGAUUGGUUAAUUCUGAAAAAGAGAUUCCUCUUUUUAUGUCCCAUAAAAAGAGCAUCAUAAAUAUUUUCCUCAAUGAAGUUUAAAACUGGUCUGGAUUAAGUAUGCCAAUGAAAUGCUUCAACUCUGUAUAUAAGUCCUGCAGUUGAUACUCUAUAAUUUAAUCUAGGAAAAAAUAGGCUUGCAUAGCUUUCAUGAAUUAAUUAAAACUAAAAAUUUUCAGUGAGAGAUGACAAUACUUACCAGAAACAAGUCAUCAGUUCUGUAGUUAUUUUUACUUUCAUGUUAUUUGGAUCCAGAGUUUAGAUGGCAAAUCAGAAAUCUGCCCAAGUUAAUCACUAGAAUAUACAACUUAUUUUAUGUCUUAGCAUCUCCAUUUUUUUUCUCCACUUAAGUGAGAAGAAACCCUGUGCCUAAACUUUAUGUCUUCCAGAAGCAUUUGAGGAAAAAACAUGUUUGAAAGAAGAUUUUUCUAAUGUAUCUUAGAGAAUUCUGUUACUAUAGAGAGAUUGUCUCCUCUGCUAAGAACAAACAGAAAAUAAAGACUAUAAAUAAAUGAACAAUUCCAGAAGCCUGUUUCAUAGUGUCAUCUCUGUAAAAUUGCUCAGACGAGGUGCCACGUUUUUCAUUUUCUUCUCAGCUGGCCUGGGCUUAGAGCAACAAUCUGCCACUCGCGUGUAUCAAGUAUGUGCUAGAAUAUAGAAAUAUACAUAAUCCUUGCCUUGGGUACAAUUGAGUGAGCUGAAGUAGCACAAGAAAGGCUCUGAAAACCCUAGUGGGUUAUAAAUGCAUUGAUCUCCAGGAGGCCUGUCUGAUAGAUGUGACCAUGGCAUGCUUUGUGACUUUUUGGGUGGAUUUGCUUAGAUAUCAAUCAAAUUUUAAGCUACCUAUGGGCGAAAUGCACUGGGAGACAUUUCACACAGGUUCAGGAAGACAUGGAAUGACUUUGCCACUCAGAUAAAAUUAAAUCCUGAGAAAUAAAACCCUUAAAGGAAGUGAAUAUACGGAAGAAGGGAAGACAAUACCUUUAUCAUUAACAAUCAAUCAGACAUUUACUAAGUGCCUGAUCUGAAGAUUUCUUACAUUUCAGUAGCUAGGAAAUCUUGGUUUACAAAAAUACUUUCACGUACGUUAUCUUAUUUGAUCCUCCCAACAAACCAGUAACAUAAGCGGGACAAUUUUAAGAUGAGGAAAUUGCAUCCCAGAGGCUUAUGUGCUUCCUGUAGCUCUUACUCCCAGUUGAAGGGGUCAUGGGCAGAGAAACCACCCAGAUCUCCCCGUGGUCACUGCCCUUUGACCACCGGUACUGCACUCCUUCAUUCUGUGUUUGGUUCUGCAGAGGAUUCAAAAGAAGUAAAGACAUGAUCCCCCCUGCCCUCAGUAAGUUUAUGAUCUAGCUUGGAAUGCAAGUUUUGCAUAUGAAAAUGCAAGUUUUGCAUAUGAAA